AACCGCUCAUGUGGUGACAGGGGGCUAUUGGUAUCUUCCAUGUUAGGCGUGUUAUCCUCGACAUGUGUUUAUUCACUGUCAUUCAUGAGAAAGGGGCCGGUAAUUGGAAUGCCUAGUUCCACGCUUAAAUCGAAAACAUAACUGUAAAACAAGACUCCCCACGGAUUGAUGUUAGUAUGGACGGUACCCGAGGAUUCGG
rnacentral:lncRNA from 1 species